GAGUUUGAUCCUGGCUCAGAUUGAACGCUGGCGGCAUGCUUUACACAUGCAAGUCGAACGGCAGCACGGAAGAGCUUGCUCUUUUGGUGGCGAGUGGCGAACGGGUGAGUAAUGCAUCGGAACGUACCGAGUAGUGGGGGAUAACUGUCCGAAAGGAUGGCUAAUACCGCAUACGCUUUGCGAAGGAAAGCGGGGGCUCUUCGGACCUCGCGCUAUUCGAGCGGCCGAUGUCUGAUUAGCUAGUUGGUGGGGUAAGAGCCUACCAAGGCGACGAUCAGUAGCGGGUCUGAGAGGAUGAUCCGCCACACUGGGACUGAGACACGGCCCAGACUCCUACGGGAGGCAGCAGUGGGGAAUUUUGGACAAUGGGGGGAACCCUGAUCCAGCCAUGCCGCGUGUCUGAAGAAGGCCUUCGGGUUGUAAAGGACUUUUGUCAGGGAAGAAAAGCUUUGGGUUAAUACCCUGGAGUGAUGACG
rnacentral:rRNA from 1 species